rnacentral:rRNA from 1 species
CGUCUAUAUACGUAUAGCAUAUCAAUAAGCGGAGGAAAAGAAACUAACUAGGAUUCCCUUAGUAACGGUGAGUGAAGCGGGAAGAGCUCAAAUUUGAAAUCUUCAAGGUUUUACCUUGACGAAUUGUAGUUUAAAGAAGUGUUUUCUGUUGUGAAUUUUGGUAAAAGUUCUUUGGAAAUAGGACAUCAAUAGAGGGUGAGAAUCCCGUAUUUGACCAUUACUUCCAGCGUUGUGAUACACUUUCAAAGAGUCGGAUUGUUUGGGAAUGCAGUCCAAAAUGGGUGGUAAAUUUCAUCUAAAGCUAAAUAUUGGCGAGAGACCGAUAGCGAACAAGUACCGUGAGGGAAAGAUGAAAAGAACUUUGAAAAGAGAGUUAAACAGUACGUGAAAUUGUCAAAAGGGAAGCGUUUGACACCAGUGUUGUUUUCUCGAAAAUCAAUUAAAAAUGGCGGGAUUUUGUGUUGUAUUGACUUUAUCAGCUUUCUGCACUUUUUUCCUGUCUUUUUUAAUGCACUUUUCGUUUAACAAGUCAACAUCAAUCUCUUUUGUUGUAAAAGAGUCAUUGGAAGGUGGCUUUCUUUUCGGAGAAAGUGUUUAUAGCCUUUGACUUCUGCAGUCGGAGAGAUUGAGGUCUGCAGCGUAGAUCCUUCGGGGUUAGAUGCAUUUGUGCUAAGUUAUAGCCUUUCAUAGACAACUUGUUGACUAUGAUCAGUCAUGUAGCUUACUCGCUUAUGUUAUUUUACCUACGCUUAGGAUGUUGACGAUCAGCUGAGCGCG